rnacentral:rRNA from 1 species
GACGAACGCUGGCGGCGUGCUUAACACAUGCAAGUCGGACGAUGAAGUUCCUUCGGGAAUGGAUUAGUGGCGAACGGGUGAGGAACACGUGAGAAACCUGCCUUUCAUUUUGGGAUAACUCCGGGAAACCGGGGCUAAAACCGAAUACUCCGUCUCGGCGGCAUCGCUGAGCCGGGAAAAAAUUUUGAUGAAAGAUGGUCUCGCGGCCUAUCAGCUAGUUGGUGAGGUAAUGGCUCACCAAGGCAACGACGGGUAGCCGGCCUGAGAGGGCGACCGGCCACACUGGGACUGAGACACGGCCCAGACUCCUACGGGAGGCAGCAGUGGGGAAUAUUGGGCAAUGGGCGCAAGCCUGACCCAGCGACGCCGCGUGAGGGAUGAAGGCCUUCGGGUUGUAAACCUCUUUCAGUAGGGAAGAAGCGAAAGUGACGGUACCUGAAGAAGAAGCACCGGCUAACUAUGUGCCAGCCGCCGCAGUAA